AGUUCUGCCAGUGGAACAUUCAUGCGCAUGUUCAAAGGGCCAGCUGGAUCAGAUACUGAUGAAUGGCAUUUCCCCCAGGCAUUAGCAUUUGCUGCGACUGGAAUCAGAAGUACAGCUGUUGUUUCCAUCACAUGUGAUAAUGAAAUCAUCACUGGUGGGCAUGUGGAUAAUAGUAUCAAGCUGGUGUCAUCAGAUGGAGCAAAAACCUUAGAAACAGCCAUUGGGCAUUGUGCUCCUGUCACUUGCCUUGCUCUUUCCCCAGAUAGCAACUAUCUUGUUACAGGAUCGCGGGACACUACUGUAUUGCUCUGGAAGAUACAUAGGGCAUUUACAUCACGGUCAAGCAGCAUAUCAGAGCCUUCCCUCAACCAGUAGUGCUCCAGCAAAUGUCUUGACAGACAAAAGCAGGAGGUGUCAUAUUGAGGGUCCAAUACAUGUCCUCCGGGGUCAUCGCAGAGAAAUACUAUGUUGCUGUGUCAGUUCAGAUCUUGGAAUUGUUGUUUCUUGCUCUCUUUCAUCUGAUGUUCUAUUGCAUUCUGUGAGGAGGGGUCGUUUGAUCAGAAGACUGGCUGGUGUGGAGGCCCAUGCUGUUAGCCUUUCAUCUGA
rnacentral:misc_RNA from 1 species